UAAUUGUCUUCAAAUAAAUUAAAUUAUUAAUAGUUAAUAAAUCCUUUUAUCAGUGUAAUAAUUGCAGUUUUGUUUUUAGUUAAACGAAUCAACAACAAGAAUAAUAGCCUCCCGUAACUCCGAAAGUAACCACUGCGAACGCUUCAGUCGAUUUCAUUUCCCCUACCAUGGCUUCACUCAGAGCGAAUA